rnacentral:rRNA from 1 species
GACAGAGGGGGCAAGCGUUGCUCGGAAUCACUGGGCGUAAAGGGCGCGUAGGCGGCCUGAUAAGUAGGGGGUGAAAUCCUGCGGCUUAACCGCAGGGCUGCCUUCUAAACUGUCAGGCUUGAGCACAGUAGAGGCAGGUGGAAUUCCCGGUGUAGCGGUGGAAUGCGUAGAGAUCGGGAAGAACAUCAGUGGCGAAGGCGGCCUGCUGGGCUGUUGCUGACGCUGAGGCGCGACAGCGUGGGGAGCAAACAGG